CAGACAGACGUCUAACUUUAAAACAGAUGGAACCCCAGAACAUUUCCAGGAUACAUAAAUCUGAAUUUUGUGUUACAUUUUAUGCCUGAGACAGCUAACCCAUCCAAAUUGAUGGACCUAAUGUGCCACAAGAACAGGAGAAGAGCAAAAUGGGAAAGACAGCUUAAGGAGAGAAUAGUAAAUGUUUGAAACAGACCCAGACAAAAUGGGCCUCUCAUGGGCCAAACCCAAAGGAGGCCAGAGAUGAUCCAGCCUGUAUAGACCAGUCUCCUGGGCCAUAAGCAGCCGGGCAGAGAAGUAUGGAGAGUGGAGGAAAAGCUCCACUGGAGGGG